rnacentral:rRNA from 1 species
CAGCAGCCGCGGGAAUACGAAGGUGGCUAGCGUUGCUCGGAAUGACUGGGCGUAAAGGGCGCGUAGGCGGCGAUCAAAGUCAGGCGUGAAAUUCCUGGGCUCAACCUGGGGGCUGCGCUUGAUACUUGGUUGCUUGAGUGGGGAAGAGGGUCGUGGAAUUCCCAGUGCAGAGGUGAAAUUCGUAGAUAUUGGGAAGAACACCGGUGGCGAAGGCGGCGACCUGGUCCUUGACUGACGCUGAGGCGCGAAAGCGUGGGGAGCAAACAGGAUUAGAUACCCCUGUAGUCCCUGUCUCUUAUAC